UUAAAUAUCCUCUGUCUUAAAUAAUCUGGGCAGUUUCCGUUUCCUGGUUGGACCCUGACUAAUACAAUCAUGUGAGAAUGGCCAAGACCCAGUGCUAAAUUAAAAGUAUGUAAUGACUGUAAAGAAAUAAAAGGCUUUCAAAAUAGUGACCAUUGAGGUUGAGAAACACUCUUCGUAGAGUGUGUAGCUGCAGAGAGCUUCCUCAGAGCCAUGGCACUGCAAAGAGUCCAAGAUAAACAAUCCUCUUGCCAUAUCUCUCUGCAAAAUCCCGUGACUCAUCCCCUGCAUGCACAGGACUGCUUCCUCUCCUCCCACAUCCUCAGGGCUGAGGACCACGCCACAGCAUCUGCAGCUGUAAGAGGGCAUCUAAGCCAGAGUGUGCCCAGCAUGCAGGAACAGGUGGAAAGCCCAGCCGCUUCCCGAGGGGCUGCCAGCUGAAAAGGAUGCUGGAUUUCUACUAUUCAGGUGCACGCUGGAUAUCUGAAUUGUUAUCCCGGCCAGAGUGACGGCCUCUCCUUGUUGGAGCUGCUCGGACACCUUACCGUCCCCACCCCCACCUCCCCUGACUGCUACUACGUGAGCAGCUGCUGCCAGAGCUGGGACCGGACCCUCUCCGCUAAAGGGGCUCUGAGCAAGUGCCAUACGUAUGUUACCACGUAGUUAAGAAUUUUCUCCUCAAAGUAAUCAGAGAAGCUGAAAAAGCUUUACGGAAAGAGGUCUCCUGGAGAAAGUGGGCAGCUCUCGGGGCACUCUGUGCUAGAAACAAAUAUUUUGGCCGGGCGCAGUGGCUCACGCCUGUAAUCCCAGCACUUUG
rnacentral:lncRNA from 1 species